AGUAGAAUAGCUCUGCAUUGGGAUAGGAUUCCGAUGCCCCUCUGAGGGAUAGCAUCUUAUCCAACUUCCAUCCGGACACGUCCCAAUUCGUGCAGAGUGGUAACUUAGGUUAUCGGAUAUCCAAGCUUGGGUACACGGGCUUGUUCCAAACCCUUGGGCGGAUGAUGGGUUAAUCAGGAGGGG
rnacentral:ribozyme from 1 species